AAAGCUCCAAAGCCCCACUCGCUCGUCCGCCGUCGUGCCGUACGGUUCGUGUCGUGGCUUGUACGUGUUCUACGCGUCGCGCGGUGUGCUCUCGCGUCCGAACGAUUCUCACACACCGGUCCACGGUCUACGUUUGACAGCGGAAUAUCUCGCGAUCGACGUUUCGAGCGACGAGUUGCGCGAGAUUCGUGACAUCGCGAAAACGCGAAUCCAUUCGUGCUGCAUCGUGUUACCUCGCUGUGCUCCGAUUUAUAUUGUACUCCGGCCGUGGACGACUAACGCGGAAGAUUGCGACCGAAGGACUGUGUGUACCCAUGCUAGGACAACCGUCUCGAGUGGUCAGGAAGACAUCGUCGUCCGUUUAUAGGAGGAUCUUUGGCGCCCCGUUGGCCGACUGGGCUGAACUACGACCCGGAGAGACGUCAAGGUGCACCGUGGCUGGUGCGUUACGAGAGUCGUUAGGUGCUGUGUUCGCGAUACGAAGCGGAGCUUAAGAUCAAUAGUCGAGCGUGGAAGACGCGGGCUUUCGAACGAAAGUUUCGUGUUCUCUAUAUUCACGGAGGUUUUUCGCGGUGUCAGAUCGUCCUCGUUGGAAGGAUAUCGAGGAGGAUCGGGAGGAGCAGUGCGUUGACACCUGUCCGUUGACUUCACCGGACCACUCAUCGUCCACAGUUUCUACGCAUUAAUCGACGGUUUCGAACGUUCGUUUUGUGAGCCAACGGCGACAAGCAUCUGUGAUCUCUCUUCGAGGAAGAAUCGUGUCGUUGAAAAAAAAAAAAACGAAAAUUCGAAAAGUGAUCGUUCUUUGAUCUUGACGACGUUGUGUAGAAAGUGUUAUUGUUUGUUGUCUGUUCGCGAAUACCAUUUGCGGCACGAAGGAAUAUUACCUUUGACCAAGAACACAGCCUACGCAUGCCGUGGAUCGAGGUCCUGAUUCUACCUUUCUUAUCCCCCAUAUGCAAGUACGAACGAAUUUUUCGACUGCUGCAUGUGACUUAGAUGGCUGGGAUCUAGGAAUUCGCAAGUACUGAGUCGACUGGUCUCGAGGGUAUCAGCAGAGAACCGGAAGAAGAGAGCCGGUUCUGGCAGUGCCGCUCCCCAAUAAGCUUCCAGUUAGAUAGGCCACGAGCUUUUGUUUUUCGUCGUGGGAAGCUGUUGGUGGGCUCGUCGGGCCCACCCUCUCAUCGGUCAAGCUGGCGAGCGCUCUAACCGCUGGUAUGAACCCCCACCACCCGGGCCACUCCGCAGCCUACCCGCAUCAUCCCU